AGUAUUAUUAGGAUUUUAUGAAGUUUUUUUUUUUUUUAAAGGUUGAGUGGUAGGAUCUUACGUUACUCCAAUUAUGUUUCUUGUUUAGAGGUUUCCUAUUUCAACUAGGAGAAGAACUUUUAGAGAGUCUACAAAUAUAGUUGUAAUUUUUACUUUUCAAAGUUGAUAAUUUAUUGAACUUGGCAAGUUCUUGCUUUGCAGAUUGUGUGAUGCAAUUCCUCUUUGGUGUGAUGUUUAAGAAACUCUAGGCGUGAUGCCUAGGCAGUUUUGCGUGUGAUGCGUAAAAAUUCAUUCUUUAUGGUGGGACUCAUUGUCCUCCAUCAAAGCCAUAAAAUGUUUUUGACACUACAUUGUUGAUGCAUGAGUUAAAUUAUGAAUCAAGGAAAUUGAUACUCAUAUUUAAUCGGUGAAUCAGCAGUGAAUUACUUUAAUCACAUAUCAUACAGAAUGAAUAUACUCAUUCAAUAGAUUUAUAUACUUUAGGACUUGAAUCUGAUCGAUGUGCUCAAUUGCAUUCUUGUGUAGAACAAAAAAAUUUCACCUCGCUACUAAUGUUGUCAUCAAUGAUUGAAACUAUUUCAAAUGACAACUACAAAUUACAGGAUAGUGUUUACUGGGGUCCGGCUCAUUGUGAGAAUCUAUGGUCUAAGUGGAUGGUGUCUUGUAGAAGCAUUCAUCUGUGACUUGCUCAUUUUCAUCAAGAUUAAUAGCUUCUUUUCGAUUAUUAGUAAAAUAUGUUCAGUUCAGUCAAAUUAGGAAGGUAAUAAUUUAGGUGACUCUUAAAAGAUAGAUUGUAUGUGCCUCAAUUAUGCUUGUGGGUGGAAAAGUUUGUAAAUAUCGGGUUAUGUUUUUAUUAAGCUAUAGCUGCUUGGUCAUGAGUAGAAUGGCUGAGAACUUGGCUGAGGCUGCUGCAAUUCUGUUUCUUUGACAUUUCUACCAGUUUAUUAUUAAUCGUCCACUUCAUGGAUUGCAUUUUGCUGAGAGGAGAAUAUGUUUGUGCAUAAUGAAUGUUCUCUUAGCAAAGUAGCUGUCUUUAUGGAACUAUGGAUAUGCGGUGUGCUGCUUUGGAUAUGCUGGCGCUUGCAGUAGUUAUGCACACUGUGGUAUAAUCAUUUCUAACAUGGUAUAAAUAUUAAGCAGAAUGGAAAACUGUUAAGAAGCUUGAAGUCCCAUAUGGCAGCUGUGGUAUGUCUCAACUGGGAGGAGGAUGCCCAAGUGAAUAGAAACGCUUCUGGUAACUCUUUGGCAUUUGAAGAUCGCACUACUCAAUUCUUCCCUUCAGCUCCAAGAGUUCCUUGCAUGCCUGGACUAGUACCCGGAGAUGCUGGUUUGACUUACGAUGGUCAAGAUUCAUUUGUAGAGCUCUCAAAUUCUUCAAAGCACAAUAUCCUUUGCAGUGGAGAUAAAGAUGGGGUUUUGUGCUUCAGUAUAUUUGGUGUCUUUCUAAUUGGAAAUAUUGUAAGGGUCAUGUCUGUUCAAAUCAAAUAUUUAGCAGUAUGGUCUAUCAGAUUCAGUCGAUGAGUCCUUUCCCUGUUCUUGCUUCUCAUUCAGCAGUUUUUCUUAAUAAAUGGAUUUGAUGG